GAAAUGCGAUAAGUAAUGUGAAUUGCAGAAUUCAGUGAAUCAUCGAAUCUUUGAAGGCACAUUGCGCCCGCCAGUAUUCUGGCGGGCAUGCCUGUUCGAGCGUCAUUUCAACCAUCAAGCCCCCGGCUUGUGUUGGGGACCUGCGGCUGCCCGCAGGCCCUGAAAAACAGUGGCGGGCUCGCUGUCACACCGAGCGUAGUAGCAUACAUUCUCGCUCAGGGCGUGCUGCGGGUUCCGGCCGUUAAACGACCUUCAUAACCCAAGGUUGACCUCGGAUCAGGUAGGAAGACCCGCUGAACUUAAGC
rnacentral:misc_RNA from 1 species